GACGAACGCUGGCGGCGUGCUUAACACAUGCAAGUCGAACGGUAAGGCCCUUCGGGGUACACGAGUGGCGAACGGGUGUGUAACACGUGGGUGAUCUGCCCUGCACUUCGGGAUAAGCCUGGGAAACUGGGUCUAAUACCGGAUAGGACUCCGGACUGCAUGGUCUGGGGUGGAAAGCUUUUGCGGUGUGGGAUGGGCCCGCUGCCUAUCAGCUUGGUGGUGGGGUGAUGGCCUACCAAGGCGACGACGGGUACCCGGCCUGAGAGGGUGACAAGAACCACUGGGACUGAGAUACGGCCCCACAAAAGACGGGAGGCAGCAGUGGGGAAUCAAGAACAAUGGGCGCAAGCCUGAUGCAGCGACGCCGCGUGAGGAAUGACGGAAGGAGGGUUGUAAACCUCUUUAAGAAGCGACGAAGCGAAAGUGACGGUAGGUGCAGAAGAAGGACCGGCCAACUACGUGCCAGCAGCCGCUGUAA
rnacentral:rRNA from 1 species